ACGCUAGCUACAGGCUUAACACAUGCAAGUCGAGGGGAAACGGCAUUGAGUGCUUGCACUCUUUGGACGUCGACCGGCGCACGGGUGAGUAACGCGUAUCCAACCUUCCCAUUACUGUGGGAUAACCUGCCGAAAGGCAGACUAAUACCGCAUAGUCUUCGAUGACGGCAUCAGAUUUGAAGUAAAGAUUUAUCGGUAAUGAAUGGGGAUGCGUCUGAUUAGCUUGUUGGCGGGGUAACGGCCCACCAAGGCAACGAUCAGUAGGGGUUCUGAGAGGAAGGUCCCCCACAUCGGAACUGAGACACGGUCCAAACUCCUACGGGAGGCAGCAGUGAGGAAUAUUGGUCAAUGGACGGAAGUCUGAACCAGCCAAGUAGCGUGCAGGAUGACGGCCCUAUGGGUUGUAAACUGCUUUUGUAUGGGGAUAAAGUUAGGGACGUGUCCCUAUUUGCAGGUACCAUACGAAUAAGGACCGGCUAAUUCCGUGCCAGCAGCCGCGGUAAUACGGAAGGUCCAGGCGUUAUCCGGAUUUAUUGGGUUUAAAGGGAGCGUAGGCUGGAGAUUAAGUGUGUUGUGAAAUGUAGACGCUCAACGUCUGAAUUGCAGCGCAUACUGGCUUCCUUGAGUACGCACAACGUUGGCGGAAUUCGUCGUGUAGCGGUGAAAUGCUUAGAUAUGACGAAGAACUCCGAUUGCGAAGGCAGCUGACGGGAGCGCAACUGACGCUUAAGCUCGAAGGUGCGGGUAUCAAACAGGAUUAGAUACCCUGGUAGUCCGCACAGUAAACGAUGGAUGCCCGCUGUUGGUACCUGGUAUCAGCGGCUAAGCGAAAGCAUUAAGCAUCCCACCUGGGGAGUACGCCGGCAACGGUGAAACUCAAAGGAAUUGACGGGGGCCCGCACAAGCGGAG
rnacentral:rRNA from 1 species